AUUGAACGCUGGCGGCAUGCUUUACACAUGCAAGUCGAACGGUAACAGGUUAAGCUGACGAGUGGCGAACGGGUGAGUAAUGCAUCGGAACGUGCCCGAUCGUGGGGGAUAACGCAGCGAAAGCUGCGCUAAUACCGCAUACGAUCUGAGGAUGAAAGCGGGGGACCGUAAGGCCUCGCGCGAUCGGAGCGGCCGAUGUCAGAUUAGGUAGUUGGUGGGGUAAAGGCUCACCAAGCCGACGAUCUGUAGCUGGUCUGAGAGGACGACCAGCCACACUGGGACUGAGACACGGCCCAGACUCUUACGGGAGGAAGCAGUGGGGAAUUUUGGACAAUGGGCGAAAGCCUGAUCCAGCAAUGCCGCGUGCAGGAAGAAGGCCUUCGGGUUGUAAACUGCUUUUGUACGGAGCGAAAAGGCUCUCUCUAAUACAGGGGGCUCAUGACGGUACCGUAAGAAUAAGCACCGGCUAACUACGUGCCAGCAGCCGCCGUAA
rnacentral:rRNA from 1 species